CCUACGGGAGGCAGCAGUGAGGAAUAUUGGUCAAUGGUCGGGAGACUGAACCAGCCAAGCCGCGUGAGGGAUGAAGGUACAGAGUAUCGUAAACCUCUUUUGUCAGGGAACAAAGGCGGGGGCGUGUCCCCGGAUGAGUGUACCUGAAGAAAAAGCAUCGGCUAACUCCGUGCCAGCAGCCGCGGUAAUACGGAGGAUGCGAGUGUUAUCCGGAUUUAUUGGGUUUAAGGGGUGCGCAGGCGGUCUGUUAAGUCAGCGGUAAAACCCCGGGGCUCAACCCCGGCCUGCCGUUGAAACUGGCAGUCUCGAGUGGGAGAGAAGUAUGCGGAAUGCGCGGUGUAGCGGUGAAAUGCAUAGAUAUCGCGCAGAACUCCGAUUGCGAAGGCAGCAUGCCGGCUCCACACUGACGCUGAGGCACGAAAGCGUGGGUAUCGAACAGGAUUAGAUACCCUAGUAGUC
rnacentral:rRNA from 1 species